UUCGGGGUACUCGAGUGGCGAACGGGUGAGUAACACGUGGGUAAUCUGCCCUGCACUUUGGGAUAAGCCUGGGAAACUGGGUCUAAUACCGAAUAGGACCACGCGCUUCAUGGUGUGGUUGGUGGAAAGCUUUUGCGGUGUGGGAUGGGCCCGCGGCCUAUCAGCUUGUUGGUGGGGUAAUGGCCUACCAAGGCGACGACGGGUAGCCGGCCUGAGAGGGUGACCGGCCACACUGGGACUGAGAUACGGCCCAGACUCCUACGGGAGGCAGCAGUGGGGAAUAUUGCACAAUGGGCGCAAGCCUGAUGCAGCGACGCCGCGUGAGGGAUGACGGCCUUCGGGUUGUAAACCUCUUUCAAUAGGGACGAAGCGCAAGUGACGGUACCUAUAGAAGAAGCACCGGCCAACUACGUGCCAGCAGCCGCGGUAAUACGUAGGGUGCGAGCGUUGUCCGGAAUUACUGGGCGUAAAGAGCUCGUAGGUGGUUUGUCGCGUUGUUCGUGAAAACUCACAGCUUAACUGUGGGCGUGCGGGCGAUACGGGCAGACUAGAGUACUGCAGGGGAGACUGGAAUUCCUGGUGUAGCGGUGGAAUGCGCAGAUAUCAGGAGGAACACCGGUGGCGAAGGCGGGUCUCUGGGCAGUAACUGACGCUGAGGAGCGAAAGCGUGGGGAGCGAACAGGAUUAGAUACCCUGGUAGUCCACGCCGUAAACGGUGGGUACUAGGUGUGGGUUCCUUCCUUGGGAUCCGUGCCGUAGCUAACGCAUUAAGUACCCCGCCUGGGGAGUACGGCCGCAAGGCUAAAACUCAAAGGAAUUGACGGGGGCCCGCACAAGCGGCGGAGCAUGUGGAUUAAUUCGAUGCAACGCGAAGAACCUUACCUGGGUUUGACAUGCACAGGACGCCGGCAGAGAUGUCGGUUCCCUUGUGGCCUGUGUGCAGGUGGUGCAUGGCUGUCGUCAGCUCGUGUCGUGAGAUGUUGGGUUAAGUCCCGCAACGAGCGCAACCCUUGUCCUAUGUUGCCAGCGGGUUAUGCCGGGGACUCGUAGGAGACUGCCGGGGUCAACUCGGAGGAAGGUGGGGAUGACGUCAAGUCAUCAUGCCCCUUAUGUCCAGGGCUUCACACAUGCUACAAUGGCCGGUACAAAGGGCUGCGAUGCCGUGAGGUGGAGCGAAUCCUUUCAAAUCAGCCGGUCUCAGUUCGGAUCGGGGUCUGCAACUCGACCCCUUGAAGUCGGAGUCGCUAGUAAUCGCAGAUCAGCAACGCUGCGGUGAAUACGUUCCCGGGCCUUGUACACACCGCCCGUCACGUCAUGAAAGUCGGUAACACCCGAAGCCG
rnacentral:rRNA from 1 species